rnacentral:misc_RNA from 1 species
GAUGAAGAACGUAGCGAAAUGCGAUAAGUAAUGCGAAUUGCAGAAUUUCCGUGAGUCAUCGAAUCUUUGAACGCACAUUGCGCCCACUGGUAUUCCGGUGGGCAUACCUGUUCGAGCGUCAUUAUCCUCCCUCAAACCUCGGGUUUGGUGUUGGACCCAAGUUGUGUGAACAACUGGUCUUAAAGACAAUGACGGCGUCCGUGGGACCCUCGGUGCAACGAGCUUUUAGGAGCACGCGCCGAGUUUCAAGGACCUUCCGGGCCGGUCUCCUUUACCAUUUUACAAGGUUGACCUCGGAUCAGGUAGGAAUACCCGCUGAACUUAAGCAUAUCAAUAAGCGGAGGA